UAAAUCAAACAAACUUUUGUAUUUCAAAUGCUUUCAUAAUUUCGAUAUAAAAUAAAUAGAUAUAAAUUGAUUGAAUUUUUGUGGAUGCAAAUGACCCACCCACCCAUCCAUGGUAUUUUAAAAUUUUCGAUCUGAACAAGUAAUAAGCAAGCCCGUAAAAUAGCAGUUGACCCAAAUCCGAUUACUGGUUACGAGACCCGGAUCCGAUCCUUCGGAGUUUCCUUUUAAUUACACAGAGAGGAGACUCUGGCUGGGAUGGUUUUCGGUUUUACCCUACCCUCGUCUCGCAAGAGGGAGAAGAAGAAGAGGAAGAAAGAUCGUCAGAAAGCUGUUAACUUGACUAUUCAACCUCAUUUAUU